GUGAUGUCACUGAGGCGGUGAAAGGAGCACCUGCCUCUAAUGGCACCCACCAUUAAGUCGGAUCUCAGCAACCAUCUGCGUGGCAGGAGCUAUCACACUGGUGCCUCGCAGUAGCCAAGGAGAGACGCCAAUGAGGGAAUCAUUUUUCCACUUGGUGAAAUACAUUUUGCUGCGUGAAAGCACGAGGAGGGCCUGUCUUGGAUAGGUGGAGUGGUCCUAGGUCCUACUAGAUGGAAACCUCAGGACUCGGAAGAGGUUCACCUUUGGAGUGAGUCCCCCUAAGGGGCUGGCCAGCCUCACGCCAGCUGCCUUCUUCUCAUGACGUGUGGUGUCCUCACAGCCAGCCGUAGGAUCUGCAUUGAGUUCAGCAAGCGGAGGCGACUUCCCCAGGGCCACACAGCCAUGGAGGGCUGCGGCUCAGUUGCUGACUGCUCCAGCUCACCCUCCCGUCCAUGAGGUUUCUGCUCCAAAAUGCUGUUGCUAAGAAAAAUGUUCCAAACACGACCCAUUUGCUGACCACAGGUCUUCAUUAUAAAAGCAUCUGAAGGAGUUCCUGAAGGGGAGGUCCUGUUGGCUGGACCCUGUCGUGCUGGUUAUAUGUAAACUGGCUGAACUACCCAGUUCUUAAACUGUCACAUGCUCCCGUCAGCUGCUCGGCUUCCUCCCCUCAGGGCAGUGCUAUUUAACACUCUCUCUUCUAAUCUCGCCUUCCUGCCUCCCCCGUCUGCAGCCUCCCCUGCACUGCGCACCCGCUCACUCUCCCCUUCCCCCAGGAGAACACAUUCUGGCAGACAGAAGUUCAAAUGAGAAGUUAAAACGCUUUGAGGCAGCAGGCAAAGUGUCAGCAGAGCCGGUGGAAACCUCAGCCUUGGGAGCAACACGUGGACCCUGCUUGGGGAUAAAGCAGGACAGACAGAAGGAGCAGGACGGACAGGAGGAACAGGACAGACAGAAGGAGCAGGACGGACAGGAGGAGCAGGACGGACAGAAGGAGCAGGACAGACAGGAGGAGCAGGACGGACAGGAGGAGCAGGACAGACAGAAGGAGCAGGACAGACAGGAGGAGCAGGACGGACAGGAGGAGCAGGACAGAGAGAAGGAGCAGGACGGACAGGAGGAGCAGGACAGACAGAAGGAGCAGGAUGGACAGAAGGAGCAGGACAGACAGGAGGAGCAGGACAGAGAGAAGGAGCAGGACAGACAGAAGGAGCAGGACGGACAGGAGGAGCAGGACGGACAGGAGGAGCAGGAUGGACAGAAGGAGCAGGACGGACAGAAGGAGCAGGAUGGACAGAAGGAGCAGGACGGACAGGAGGAGCAGGACAGAGAGAAGGAGCAGGACAGCCAGACAGGAGGAGCAGCCUUCUGGGACCCAAACAAACAGUCAUGCCCCAAAUACCCCCAGGGCUCUUGAAAGGGACAGCGGAAGGCACAGGCCAGCUUCCUCUCCAAGCAGACCCAUGUCCAUGAACCCUGCAAUCCCAGGCCAGGAGACAAUCUUGAAACAUGCUGUGACCCUCUCUUCCCUGGCGGAAGCCCUCACGGAAUGGACUGAAGCAGCUGAGGCACCCCCGGGGGGCUCAGUGAGGAUGAGGAGGGAAGGAGGCGGCCGUGGGACUCUGGGCAUGCAUCUGGCACAGGGCGGAGCCGUCUGAGAUGCCAUCCAUCCCUCUUCUUGCUGGUGUCGACUUCAUCUGUCAUCGCUGCUCAUCCCUUCCACAGCAGUUCUGCCUGAUGGUUCACCUGCGGCAGCCGUGCCACGUGAAGAUCUGGGUUGGUUUCCACCCUCCUGAAGCUCAUGGUCCGCUGGGGGAGUUGAGAUCACAGACAAUAUAACUUGUCCAGCUUCCCUGCAGCUGCCUUCUUGGGGCUUGACUUUAGAUCCCAGGAAUCUCUCUCAGAACCAGCCCUGGCCUGCCUAACCCACCUGCUGUCCUGUCCCUAAGCAACACCUCCAUCCUGCCACCCAAGAUACAGCAUAGUCCUCCAGCGUAACAAUGUCACCCCCUCACUGAGUGCCCUGAUGGAAUGUAAAAUAUGCCACCCACCCUGAUGUGGAAGGGGAAGUGUCCUCUUCAUGGCAUACCCAUGUGGGCUGUUUUCUCCUGUUCACCCAAGAUAGAGAGCCCCAAAGGGGCUGGGGCCAAAUCUGGGUCAUGGCCACAUCCAUGAACAGUGGGAUAGACCCUCUGGUGUGCACCAUGACCCCCUUCAAGGAAGGAUGUGUUGCCAGCUUCUCUGUGUGCUGCCUACACACAGCCUUCAUCAGCCACCAUUUGGGCCCAACUGAG